CUCCGGUCCGUAGCUGCUCCGCAACACAGGACAUAAGACCAGAUUGGAGACCUCAAUAAGUGAGCCAACUUAUCAAUAAUACAAGCUGUGGUUGAUUCAGAGGAUGAGCCAAGAGCAGAGUCAGCCUGGAUGAGAUGCUGAGGACAUAAGACUGAUCAACACGGAGCUCUGCAGCAGUCCACCUUCAAGCACGAU